AGUAAACCUGGUAUAAAGAAACACAUGGAACAAAAGUGAUAACUUUAAAUACGUUUAUUGUGGCCACAUGUAUAUAUACACAACUGAAUGAUAAAUAGAAGUGGUUCAUGUAUAUUUAGUCAUAUAUCUACAUGCAUCUGCAUGGGUUGUAUGUUAGCGGUUAACCCUGGUGAGGAAAGCUCAUGAACAGCAAUAUAUUAGAACCAGUGCAGUGUGUUGGUGCUGUGUAGAUGUUGUUGAUGAUGUUGGUGAGAGACAUCAUGGUGAUGGCGGUUGCCGUAAUGUGGCCAGUGGUGAGAUCUUAGAAACUCUGGAACCAACAGGCGUUGAGACUAGAAGGAAGUAAGCUUUUAUAGCUGACAGUAGGCUUAACUGCUGUUUGGAACAGACUGUCUCACGUGACUUAUUUGGAGGUUGUGAUUAACUGGGUUGCAUAUUGGUGCACGAUAGAGCAAGAGACAAAUUGCGCCAAUACCAACCAAAUGGAGUGGUAGACACAAACGGGGUCCAAAACAACCGCCAAAGGUUAGCUGUUACCUGCUACGUUUGUAUGUACUUAUAUAUAAUAGAGAGAGGAAGUUCACUAGAGUUCGCUACACUUUCAUAACAAUUAACAAUUGCCAGGCAUUGGGUAUGACACCUCCUUGUAUGAUCUGGUUGACUAUGCAAGGCAAUGAGCUGGCAGAGUCUUUAGCAUGCCAGACAAGAUGCUUUCACCAGAUAUUUUUAGCAUCCGAACACC